GUCCAGUUGACGAGUCCUAAAUAGGACGAAAUGCGCAUCCUGGAU
rnacentral:hammerhead_ribozyme from 1 species